CAAAGGUCUCAUUGUCCCUCUGCUUCCCUUUUCCUACUUCUAUUCUGGAAGGUCCUCGUCCUUUCUGGAAGCCGCCUUUCCCUCAAUGAGUAAAACACCUAUUUUGGGAACCAGCCCAGAACUUAGGAAAACAACCACCAUAUACGGAGACGUUCUCCCGUGGAGGCGUUCGGUUCUCCAGCCGAGGAAGGUGGCCCGCCGGCCGGGAGUCCCAGCUUUGCGGAAGUGGCACUGCAAAGGACCGGUGUUCUGAUUCUCGGGACAGCCAAGCCCUGACUGGACUCAUUGGAGGGAUGGACCAACUCACCGGAAAUGGCCACAGGAUCAGGGCCAACUAGACUCCCCGGCUGAGGUGGUUUCACAGAAUAGGAGAGGGCUAGACCUACUCACGGCUGGAAAGGGAGGACUCUGCCUCUUCUUGAACGAAGAAUGCUGCUUUUAUGUAAACCAAUCAGGAGCAGUCAGGGACAUGAAGAGGAGGGAGGAACUAGCUAAUUCCUGGGGUAGCUGGAACAAUAUCUGGAGCUGACAUCAUGACUUCUCCCUUUAACCGGUCCUCUCUUCAUGUUCUUUGCAACGCUCUUGUUUGGCCCUUGUAUUCUCUAUGCUAUUACCCAGGUCAUAACCUCUCAAACUGAAUCCAUAAAGCUACAAAUGAUAAUAGCUCAAAUAUAGCCCCCUAAGCAAUGGAGAGCUCUGAAUGUCCUACCAAAACAUGAUAUGAUGCUUUCUACAAUGAGUGAUAGAAGCAUCAAGAAAGGGGAAAUGAAGAGGAAAAGUUAA